rnacentral:rRNA from 1 species
UACACACUGCCCGUCACGCCAUGGGAGUUGUCUUUAUCUUAAGCCGGUAAGCUAACCGCAAGGAGGCAGCCGUCCACGGUAAGGUCAGCGACUGGGGUG